CAUUUCUCUCUUCACUCAUGACAAAGGAGCCCAGUGCCAGGCUCACGGAGAAGCCCCAGUAGAGAGGAAACUGGCUCCAUCCUGGCACCGAGAUAUCACAUCCUUUGCAGUGAGCCCAGCAGCAUAAUGAUGAAUCCAAGGAAUCAUGCCUCCUGGCACCGGCACGUAGGAUAACACAGAGGCUGCCACCAAAAGUCCACAAGGCCAGGCAGGGAUCACAUGUUCCUGAGGGCCUUAAAAAGCUUGGUCGUUUGCAUGAGGAAAAUAGCUCUGCAGAUGCAGCCACUUAGUUCAGCCCAGGGACAACUAUGGCCACCAUCUACCCAUGGCUCCGGGAGCCACUCUGCUUACCAUUGAUGUGAGCCCCCGGCUUCACCCAUUCACC